UUUACAAAAACGACGUGUGACCUUGGUGGGUUGGGAGAACCUGAGCCACAGGAACAGAAAACAGUAUGUGGUUUUGCCCCUCAUGGCAAAGCAUUUCGCAGCAGUCUCAUCACAUGAAGAUGCAGCUCCUGUCUAUAGCACUCAAACACUGACAUGAAACUUGAAGGCCGGUGGGAGAACUUUCAAUGUUCCCCUCUAUUCUUGCCAUAAUCUGGUCAAGUUGCAGGCAGAAGUGUUUGUGGGGUUACGUGAAGAAGUGAUGCCCCCAACUUCCUUCAUGAUCGCUUAGAGGCACCAAUAGGGGAUUGGAGUGCCAUGGCGUGAGGCAUUGUACAGUCUUGUGAAAAGGCAGUUCUUGGCCCAAAGAGCUUCUUAUCUUCAUUGAUGACAAGAUGCAAUAGCUAGGUGAAACACAUGGUUUUGGG